rnacentral:rRNA from 1 species
ACGCUCCACACCUACGGGAGCAGCAGUGGGGAAUAUUGCACAAUGGGGGAAACCCUGAUGCAGCGACGCCGCGUGAGCGAAGAAGUAUUUCGGUAUGUAAAGCUCUAUCAGCAGGGAAGAAACUGACGGUACCUGACUAAGAAGCACCGGCUAAAUACGUGCCAGCAGCCGCGGUAAUCUGAGCGGGCUGGCAAGGC